rnacentral:rRNA from 1 species
UACGUAGGGUGCAAGCGUUGUCCGGAAUUAUUGGGCGUAAAGAGCUCGUAGGGGGUCUGUCGCGUUUGCUGUGAAAACUCGGGGCUUAACCCCGGGCCUGCAGUGGGUACGGGCAGACUAGAGUGCGGUAGGGGAGACUGGAAUUCCUGGUGUAGCGGUGAAAUGCGCAGAUAUCAGGAGGAACACCGGUGGCGAAGGCGGGUCUCUGGGCCGUAGCUGACGCUGAGGAGCGAAAGCGUGGGGAGCGAACAGG